rnacentral:rRNA from 1 species
AUACGGAGGGAGCAAGCGUUAUUCGGAAUCACUGGGCGUAAAGGACGCGUAGGCGGGUUUGUAAGUCAGGUGUGAAAUCCUACAGCUCAACUGUAGAACCGCACUUGAAACUACAGACCUAGAGUAUGGAAGGGGCAGAUGGAAUUAGUGGUGUAGGGGUAAAAUCCGUAGAUAUCACUAGGAAUACCGAAAGCGAAGGCGAUCUGCUGGGACAUUACUGACGCUGAGGCGUGAAAGCGUGGGGAGCAAACAGGAUUAGAAACCCCGGUAGUCC